rnacentral:pre_miRNA from 1 species
AGCGGUAAGUGUUGAAAUUUAAAACGGAGAUGUUGGAACGGCUCAAUCAAAUCAAAUAUCCUAUGAAAUCAAUUGGGUCCUUUAAUUUGAUUGAGCCGUGCCAAUAUCUCCUCUCGUCUUCUUUCGCUUCAUCAACUU